AGAAGAAGAAGAAGAAGAAGUUGCUACCUUUCUAGAUGAAGAUGAGGUGCCUCUCAAUGAGCGCCAAAAAGAAAUGCUUCUUAGGGACAAUCUUCUAAAGCUUCUAACACUACUACUUAUGGUAAGCUUCCUGAAGCCGAUAAUCUUGUUGUUUCUAAUUCUUCUAUUCCUUAAAGGAUCUUACCAAUUCAAACACUUCCCAAUUCUCAACCAAUCACUUCUCAACAAAUUUCAUCCAUCUCUCAACCAAUUUCUG
rnacentral:lncRNA from 1 species